rnacentral:rRNA from 1 species
UACACAUGCAAGUCGAACGGCAGCGGGGGAAAGCUUGCUUUCCUGCCGGCGAGUGGCGAACGGGUGAGUAAUACAUCGGAACGUGCCCUGUAGUGGGGGAUAACUAGUCGAAAGAUUAGCUAAUACCGCAUACGACCUGAGGGUGAAAGUGGGGGACCGCAAGGCCUCAUGCUAUAGGAGCGGCCGAUGUCUGAUUAGCUAGUUGGUGGGGUAAAGGCCUACCAAGGCGACGAUCAGUAGCUGGUCUGAGAGGACGAUCAGCCACACUGGGACUGAGACACGGCCCAGACUCCUACGGGAGGCAGCAGUGGGGAAUUUUGGACAAUGGGCGAAAGCCUGAUCCAGCAAUGCCGCGUGUGUGAAGAAGGCCUUCGGGUUGUAAAGCACUUUUGUCCGGAAAGAAAUGGCUCUGGUUAAUACCCGGAGUUGAUGACGGUACCGGAAGAAUAAGGACCGGCUAACUACGUGCCAGCAGCCGCGGUAAUACGUAGGGUCCAAGCGUUAAUCGGAAUUACUGGGCGUAAAGCGUGCGCAGGCGGUUGUGCAAGACCGAUGUGAAAUCCCCGGGCUUAACCUGGGAAUUGCAUUGGUGACUGCACGGCUAGAGUGUGUCAGAGGGAGGUAGAAUUCCACGUGUAGCAGUGAAAUGCGUAGAGAUGUGGAGGAAUACCGAUGGCGAAGGCAGCCUCCUGGGAUAACACUGACGCUCAUGCACGAAAGCGUGGGGAGCAAACAGGAUUAGAUACCCUGGUAGUCCACGCCCUAAACGGGAUGGUCAAC